AAAAAAUGAAAUAAAAAUUAGUUACAUUUGAUAACUUUUAUCUCUAACCUAUUGAGACACGCAGGUCUCCAAAUAAAUCGGCUUCUGCACGCAGGCACAAAUAUAGCCAUCUCUAAUACAAAAUUCUUAAUUUAAACAAAUUUAAAAUUACAGGAUUCUGCAUACACAUCAUACAUCACAUGUCGAAACAAAAAUAAAUAGGUUUCUAUCCAUGAUCAUCACCGUAUCUCAUACAUCACAUGCAUAAUAAUAAAUUUUGGAUAUUCUAAUUAACUGUUAACUGAUGAUUCGAAAGAAAUAAAUUAUUAAAAAUAAUCAAUCUUAUUGAUUAUUAUAAUUUUGAUCAACAAUUUAAUCUACAAAAAUAACAUCUUGAUCUCAUCAAGAAAUCAAUUUGAUCUAAUCAAAUUAGAUCUACCUAUUCAUUAUCUAAAUCGAUCUAAUAAUUAAAAGAAGAAAAAGAAAAGAAAAAAAAAAUCAUACUCCCGUACGGACGCUACAGUAGCGUCCGUACAGAUGCUACAGUAUUUUUUUUUUUUAUAUACGAGAAAUCGUCGAUUAAAUUGUUCGAUCAAUUUGAUUUUACAAAUCAUCCAAACAACGAUCUAUAAAUCGUUCGAUCGUCGAAAAACGGUUUAGAAUACCCAAAUUCAUAAUUUUAAUCUUAAAAACAUGAGGAUGGCUCUGAUACCACUGUUAGAAAAUUGCGUACGGUAAAAACGCAGCGGAAAAAGAAAUCAAACAAAUUUGAUUUUUGAAAACUUUCGAGAUCCAAUCUUAAAAACCACGCAAUUAGGAUCCCUCAUGUUCUUUAAGAUUAAAGAAGAAAAAUAAGAUCGAAUCUUUACCUUUUUCGCGGAUAGAUCUUCCCCUCAAUUUGAUGAUCGUGGAAUUCGGUUCUCUUGAAGCCGUACACGCGUCUUGCCUCUAUAGGUAUCCACAUGAGGUUCUUGAUUUGAUCGAUGUCCUUGCCGGGGUGCUAGCUCCCUUGCAAAAGGACGUCUUUCUUGCUAGAAGAUGGAAGAGAGAAGGGAAGAGAGAUAACGGCUAGGGUUUUCUAAAAACUCCCGUAUGUUAUAUAUAGGAAUAUAAUCCUAUUCCUAAUAAUAUAAUGACAAUUAAGGAUAAUUAUAAAUCUAGAUUAAAUUUAUCCUUUCCUUAAUUGGUUAGAUCGAUCAAAUCCUAAUUUGAUUCGAUCUUUAAUUUUAUAUUAAUUUGAUCUUAUCAAAUUAAUAAUGCAACAUUUUCACAUAAGUCCUCUUAUAAUUUACUAACUAUUAGUAAGUCCUCUCUUAUAACAUUUACACCUUAAUACCACUAAUUUGUAACAAUUACAAAUUAGUCCAAUUAUCAACAUAUUGACAAUUAGGUCCUCCGGCGAUUCAAUAAUCGCGAUCUAGCUAUCCGAUCAAUCACAACCUCUUAUGUGUGUACCCAUAGGUUCUAUUCUAUUUGGUAUGAGAUUAUAUUUUGAUCACUAUCAACAAUAUCACUGGAAACUCUUUCAGUGGAUCGAAACAAUUCCAACUCAGCCAAUGAGAAUUAUCGAUCAUCUAGAUAAUUCUCAUGAGUCCACAAUCCACCAUGACGCCUAGCAGCAUGUAGUGGCAUUCCAGUAGAAUGGAAUACUGAACCCUUGGUGCAGUUACCGUGUGAUACAAUCCUUCUAUCAUAGUCCCGACUAGACAGAGAUUAUGGAAUAACUCGUCAAACCAAAUCAUCUGUCAUAUGUUAAAUUUAUUCGACUCGAGUUUCUAAUAUCGGAAACCCUUUUCCGAUAUUUAUUCUGCCCUGGCCAAGGUCUUCUAAACUCGGUCUCAUAAAUUACAUAGGACUAACACCCCUAAUCUACCAAGGGAGAUAGAUUCCAUCUAAGUGCGCCCCUAUCCUACAAUGAACCUACUGCAGCCAACAUGCACCGCAAGGACCCGAAUGGCUAGGGACCAAGUGUAUGUAACAUUCAAACUACAGUAACCUCAUUGUGAAUAGCCGAGGCACCGCAGGUCAAAGGAACAGUCACACUACUGCAACAAUUGAGUAAGUCACGACGAGUGAGUAACAUCCAAGUGACUGUCUCUGCGUUGGUCACGCUCGGUACCCUUGUUCUCCAACAACCACCUGCAUAUUCGCUUCAGUAUCCCCACACUGUCGACUCGAGACUCGUCUACCCAGAAAGGGAAGCGACCUAUGCACCAAUCUCACCGGAUCAAUUACCGUUCCCGUGAUGAUCUAUUGAUCGGGAGCAUUUAGAAAUUAACCACCAAUGACACUUGUCUCAAAGUCUCAACACUUGAGAAUAUAUGUCAUCAUCUUAUUAAUUCCUUGGACGAUUCAUGGACACAUACACAACAUGAAUAAAAAUAAAAAUCCAAAGAUAUUCAUAAUAUUUAAAAGUCAAAUACAAAUUUAUGUCCUAGAAAGAAUAUAUGUGUCGGCCUGGCUGGCUUCUAGGGCAUACAUCUAACAGAACUAGACCUAAAUUUUUAGUUUGCUUUUUCCUGUCAAUGCAAAGUAAAUUCUCUAUUCCUUCUAAAGAGUGUGUCAAUGCAUGGAUAUUAAAAUCAGUUAGUCGAAAAUGGAAGGAUUAUAAGUAUGAACUUAAAGCAAAAUAUAAGGUAAAGGAUCAAACAGAGCAACAGAUUGCAAAUAUUGUCCCAAAUGAAAUUAUGCCUCAACAAUGGAUUGAUCUUAUUCGCAUAUGGUUCUCGGAGAAAAGUGAGGUAACAUACUAGCAUUAUCAAUGGCUUUAAUAAUGCUACUAAGAUUUUUAUUUCCUUCUUGUUAGUUGAAUUUCUAAAUUUUCACAAAAUAUUUAUAUAAUAAAUUUGUUACUUCUACAGUUGUACUCUUAGAUAGGAAAGAUGGCACGUGCAAAUGUUAAAACUCCUCAUACAACUGGAUCAAAUGAGCUUUGCUAGAAAAAGACAGGAAUUUGUAUGUUCUUUUUUUUAUUGUUCUAUUUUUUUUGUUGAAAUAGUCAUAUAAAAUUUUAUGAUAAGAUGUAUUUAUAGUGUAUAGUUCUUUAUUUUAUUUUAUAUUAUAUUAUAACUUUCUAUGCUGAUUAAAUUUAUUUUUAUGAUGAUGGUAGAAGGAUGAGAACCAUAGAGAACCGUCUCGUAUUUAGUUUUUUGCAUCGACUCAUAAACAAAAGGACGAAAAUUAUAUUAAUGAUACAUCAAAGAGACUUGUGGUGCGUAUAUGUGUGCAUUAAUAACUUGUCAAGUAUUAGUAGUCCUAAUUAAGUUGUUGACAUAUUACUGUUUUUUUUCUAUAUGUAGGAGAAAUGCAUGACUGAAGUUGCGAAACGUUCGGCAUCCUCUGAAUCGCCUGAUGUAAUUUUUCAAUUGGAAAAUGAAGUUUUCAGUGAAAUAAUAGGAAAAGAGAAAUAUGGACAAGUUAUUGGCUAUGGACUUGGACCUUCGCCGACACAGGUGUUUGGGCCACAAGCGCAAUUUAGGUUUAUGGACAAUGCAGAACAAAAUAGUGUGGAAUUGCAAUAACAAAUGAAAACUAUGCAAAACAAGUAUGAGUCCAAGUUGGCUGAAAUGCAACAGAACUAUGAUACCAAAUUGGCCGAGAUGCAACAAGAUUUUUAAUCUCAAUUGAACCAAGUCGCAUCUAUGCUCCAGAUCUUUGCAAGAUCAUCAAGCGAUUUAGGUGGUGUAGCUUCUAGGUUUCCUAAUUUCACUACAUCCUCUGACUCGGGCAAUGCGGGCGAAAAUUCUACUCCAGAUAUUUGGUUUAAUUAACUUUUGAGUUCUGCUACAAUUAAGAUCCAUUUUGAGACAAAUCUGUCAUAUUUUGGUAAUAUUUUGCUUGUGAUGUAUGACCAUGACUUGUUAGCUUUAUAGUAUUAUUAGUGAACAUGUUUCUUUCUAUUAUAAAUGAAUGUAGUUUCUUUUGAGUUUUAUUUGCUUCUAAAUAUGUUUUCUGUCCUCUCAAAAAGUUGUAAGUUUAUGCUUCAAGAUAUGUAUAGUAGUAAUGUGUAUGAGUUUUAUAUCCAAUGCAAAAAAAAAAGCUAAAUAUAAUAUCAAUUAAACCAUAUUUUAAUAUUUAAAAUAUUGACGCUUUAAAGCAUCAGCAGAUUAAAUGGUUUAAUUAUAUAAUUUAAAAUCUUGUCACUUUUAAGAGUCAACAAAUCAAUAAAUUAACUAUGCUCAAAAGCAUCCAAAAUAUUAUGACGCUUUGUGCUGUCAUUAUCUAAGAGGGUAAAGUAGUUGGGUAGUCUAAAAUAAAGACGCUUGUUAGCGUCCUCAUUUUACUGCCGACGCUGUGACCUUGUGUCGGCUUAUUUCUCUCGACUUUCAACUUACUGACGCAUCUGACGAUGCUUCUAAAAGCGUCGAAGGUUAAUUUAGCAAGGCUUUUUAGCAUCAACAACUGUGAAAAUAAGCAUUCUCCAAAAUACUAUUUAUUGUAGUGAAUGGGGGUCUCUAUACAUGGUAACAAAACCUCUCUCUCUCUCUACAAGAUACAAAAUAAAGAGAGAACCACCUAGUAAGCAAAAGAAACGCUCCUCGCUAGCUAACUAAGCGAUUCCCUUGCCGCAAUCCCGUGCCUCCACCGGUGUAGAGGGCUUUGAAAGAAAACCGCAAAACAGGGAGCGUGAGAACUAUUAAAUAAUAGUUUCUAGUGGGCAAUUACUGACUUCAGUGAAAUGCGCCACUAGGCCCAAAGCAAAAAGGGGUAAGUAGAUAAGUAAAAGCGAUAGGAACGGCAUGUGAAUAAAUAUGUAAACUUACUACAACAUGAUAUCUCUACUUAGCAUGAAAUUGCAUAAAUAAGAAAGCUAUUCUAUACAUGAAUAGGCAGAAAUAUACAACCAACAUGAUGUCUACAACGAAAUAGUAAAAUGUCAAUGUUUACUAUUCUAGUCAAUGUCCACUUGACAUGUUUAACUAUUUAAAGUUCCAAUCUUGUAAGACCCACCCGUAGGCUGUUUGGCCUGAAGACCCACCCGUAGGCUGUCUGGCCUGUGCCGUGCCUAAUGUCCCCGUGGUAGUCAACAUCCACACUCUAAGAAUGAGCCUUGCCCAUGGCAAUCCACUUCGGCGCCCAAUCUCGCACGGCGAGUAUGUAUCGCGAUGGCUAUCUCCGGAGUGCCGGCUUGUAGGGAGCGACCCUCACAAGCAUGUGCGAAUGAGCACAAAGGCAAGUAAGCAUAAGAUCUGUCUCAAGUCUCGAGUCUCAAGUCGUCAUGUCUAAAACAUGGAAUGUAUCAAAUGUUUCAAUAGCCUAUCUCUAUGUCAUCUUGUCUAAAACAUGGAACAUAGUAGAUGUCAAUGGCCUACCACUAUGUCUCUAUAUUAAAGUUUCACAGUUUGCUAGUUCAUGUGCCCCUUCAUGACACUUUUGCUCACUAGGUCAAAGCAUGAUAAUUAUGUUCAUGAAUACAUAAUUCUAAUCAUUUUCCUCGCACGAGACAUGUAAUCAACUCGCAAGGAUAAUCACUUCCACAUGCAUGCAACCUACACAUAUAGCUCUACUAUAUAGAGUGAAAUUUUCGUUAUACAUAACACAUGCAUUUUAAGUAUUCUAAAAUUCACAUAAAUCCUAUUUAGCAUGGAUAUGAAAUCAUGUUGAUGUUACGACAAGCAUAUAACGCAUAGGGGCUAUUUUGCCUCGGUCUCAUGAAGCCAAACCCACCGAGGUUACCACAACCCUUCGUUUGCUCCGACGAAGGUGCCCACUAGCCUCCUAGUAUCCUAGAAGCAUCAAAAAAUGAGACCAAAGAAGCAAACGAACAACUAAGGGGCCGAUCACAAGCCAACACAAGAAAAGGAAGAAAACUCACCAAGUGCGAAGGUACCCCUCUCGAUCUCCGAAUGGGAGUAAGAGUCUUUCCAAUCCAACCUAUACAAAGGUUCUAAACCCAUCAAUUUGGUUCCAAAGCCCCCAAAUCGAAAAUCUCCAAAUCUAACCCUAAAAUCCAAAAUCUAGGAUUUUUACCAACAAAAAGCAUAAAGCUCUAAUCUAGAGGAAGGAAACUAACCACUAACCUCUAGGAUGCUUCAAACCAAGCUCAAAGUCCACAAACUCCCAAGAUCUUCCCUCAAGCAAGCUCCAACUACGAGCUCCAAGCUUCUAAUGGUGAGAAGAGAGGGAAAGGGAGAUGUCCAAAAUCCUCCAAUGCUUGCUCUCCUUCCUCUCCUCCUUUUUCUCCUUCUUCUUGUCUUUCUAGAGGGUGAGAGAGAAUGUGAGAGAGGAAUGAGGGAAAGAGAGAAGGGAAGUACCAUAUAACCCCCUCUCAACAACAAAAUCCAAAAAACCCCCUCAACUCAACAACCUAUGCACUGCCUGGUCUAGACAGUUUUCGGGCAGAGGGACCGGUCUCUCCCUCCCAGGGAUCGGUCCCUCAGGACCCUCCCGCAGUCACGCGUACGGGAACCGGUCUCCCUGGCCAAGGGACCGGUUGCAUCAGCCGACUGCCGCAACCAAGCUACGAGGGACCGGUCUCUCCCACCAGGGACCGAUCAUCGAGAGCUAAACUCUUGGGACAAAACCAAAAAAAUCUCGGAAUGCGAGCCGUGGGUCGAAACACUGUCAACGACCCUCCAAAAAAUGCGGAAAGGCUCAGAACCCAAAUCAAACACUCGAACCUCGCAAUUUGCAAAGGUCCGGCGUGUUACAGUAUGCUCUCAUGGUAGUGGUAGAAAAUAUGAGAUGAAACAUAGUGGAAUAUGUGCAUGAGGAUUGGGUUGUGAACAAUGAACUCUAUAGUGCCAUGACAAUGUAAACCUAGAAAACAUAGUGACAUGAAACGAUGACAUUUGGAUAGUAAACUGAGAACACUCAUGACAUGAGGAUAGGGAUUGAUAUCUCCCCUGGCAUUGUUACCACUAGUUGGUAGGGUAUCCUCGGGUUUAAAGGAUUGGAUCAUACUCACAUUACGUCUCUUUGCUUGCCGGUGGUCGCACGAUCCAAGCUUGGUCUCCGGAGUACUUCAGGUAGGGGUUAACAUAGCUACCCCGCAGAUGGUCCCGGGUGAGUGUAGCGUUGAGUCUCCUCACUGGCGUGAUUUUGUUGUGAGUCGGGGCUCAACUUUCGGGUUGGCCGGAAUGAUUGGGUUAUGAAUCGUGGAUAGCAUGCAUCAUAAGCAUAGUAGUUGCUAGUACACGUGUUAUUGUACCUGUUUAUUGUAUCAUAUUGCCAAAACAUAGUAGCAUGCUGCGGUCGACCCACUGGGAACUUUUGUUAGUUCCCAUCCCACUUUGUUGCAGGGCCUAGCACGAGCGGACCGGCCGAGGAUCGCGGAAAGGGCAUAGCGCCCUAGAUAGUAGCCUCCUUUGCAUUAGAGUACCAUAUAUUAUUUUGAGAGACAUGAUGUAUUUUGGGAGAGGUUACUUUUGAGAGAUGUAUAUGUAUUAUAAAACAAAUGAUGUAAACCAUUAUGAAUGCAUUUUGGUGGAUGAAUGUAAACAUUUAGAACGUGCAAUGUAAUAGCUAGUAUUUCUCUCUUGCUCUUGUUCAUGUUACUCUCUCGCAUCAUGUAUGUUGAUUAUGUUUUUCCUGGGCAAACUAGAUGUACAUGAUAUUGUUGAGCCUUGGGCGGAUAGGGGAAACCUUAUCCGUUCGGCAGUCCGUCCAAGCGCCAGAACCGACCAAAUAGUCGGUCUCGGGGCGUGGGGCGUGACACAUGUGCAUAUGUUCUCACCCGCCACCCCCUUUCAGGUGACGUUGCUAGUCCGAGUCGGGACGGUUCGUGAGGCACGCGGUUAGUGGUCGUAGAGUGCUUCGGCCCGGUGAAUCACGGUUUAAUUUCUAAUCUAUUUCUCCCACUUAGAUAUUAUGGUUCAGUUGGUUCUAUGUUAUUUGGAUACACGUGGUUUUGUGAAAUUAAUAAGUACUUAUGGUUUUCAUAUGAAAUAAUAAAAAUAAUUUUCUACCCCUCGUGGUAGCGUGUUUUUAAAGAAAAAGGUUUCUGUAUGGGAAACAAUUUUAAAAAGGGUUUUCUAGUUUUCAUGAAUCUUAAUAUUUCAAAAUAAGUUUCCGAGUGUGAAAUGUUUUAAACUGAUAGAUGUAGAAUUAUGAAUAUCAUAUGGUAAAUUUGUGAUGGAAUGAAUGUGAUGUGGUGAUUGUAUGUGGAUAUGUAUAUAAUGUGGUUGUAUCUUACACUUGUGCGACGCCAUGCAAAUAUAGGAGAGACUCUGUCCGUGUGAACAGUGGAUUCCCUGCAUUUGUGGUGUAGGUUUGUGAGCUUGGAGCGUUAAACGUUUCCAGGUCACACAAUGUGACUGGGACCUCCUACAGUCGCGCNCUGACAUCCUCCAGGGUCAGGGCUUCCAAAAAAAAAAAAAAAUUUGGAUACUUCCGCAUUGAUUUUAAAACCCAAAGGGGCCCCGAAGCGUGACAUCAAAAGAGUACAAUAAGAGAAGAAACAGUGUAAAUAUCUUCCAAAGAGUGCAAAUUUUUUUUUAAAGAAUAUGAUUUUUAUCUUAAAGGGUACAGUUUACAUCUCAAAUAGUACAACUUACGUCCAUAAUAGUGCAACAUUCUUUUAAAACAGUGUAAUUUUAUCUUAACAGUGCAACUUCAUCUUUUUCUUCCUUCUUCUUUGAAUUUUUUUAUUAUUCUCUAGUUUUUAACCUUUAGUUAAUUUUUUUUAUUUUAAAUAAACAAAAGUGUUAAGCUAGAGAUGCUCCCGUGCACUCCUCGCCCUUCUCGCCUUUGACAUCGUCGAGGCCGCGCUAGCUGCCGCCCUUCGGGGUAGGCGGGUGUGCCGCGUGCCCCCUCCCUCGUCGGCGAGCUUUUCAGUGCCCAGAAGUGCUUUCUCUUUGUCGUCGGCAGCAGUUUGAACGGUGGGUUUUCAGAAGUGGGUUCGGCGGGUGCAAAAUAUGCUGCAGUAGAGAUGGAGGGCGAAGGCGGAGGAAGAGAAUGCGUUGCUGUUCUCGUUACUAUCGCGGAGGGCUGCAGAGGGGGUGGAAGAGGGUCGGAGAGAAAAAAAAGAAGGUAACGACACGGCCUCGGCAGGGUUGAAGGCGAGAAAGGUAGGGGGUGUGGGGGCGGUUGAGAGCAAGAGUGCGCGGGGCAGAGGCUGGCCAUCUCUGCCUCUGCUGCCUCUUCUGAGAGAAAAGAAAAAAACGAGAGAAAAAAAAAAAGAAAAAGAAAAGAAAAAAGGAAAAAUUGACAAGUUUGCUGAAAAUUCGAAUCGAAUCUGCAAAAUCGAAAAAAACGAUGAGUGAAAAAAAAGAGAGUGUAUUUUGCUGGUUUGUUUGAAAACUUGAGUUUUCUUUUCCCUUUCUUUUACGCAGAAAACUAAAACUGGUUUCUCAAAAUCACGCGGCUCAUAGUUGUGUAGUCGUGGUUCACGAGAAAGGCAGAUUCUCGUGGACCAUGGCUUUAAUGGAGACUGAGAAAGGUGGAGGAAGACUAGAAGGGACGCACAGCAGAAACCAACGUCCGCUAUUCUUAUCGUCACCAGCGAAAGCCCGUCCCAAAAUACCAACAAAAAGGGGAAAAAAAGCGUCUAGUGUUUUUAAUCUUCAUUGCACCCUCUCUCUCUCUCCCCCUUCCUCUUCGUUUUGCAUGGGCAUGGAGAUCCCGGGGAGGCGAUCCGCAUACUCCCUGCUGAGCCAAUUCCCCGAUGAGCCCACGCCCCUGGCGUCGUCCUCCGAGUGGGGCCUGCGGAUCACCUUCGCCGCGGGGUUGCAGCGCCAAUCCAGCGGCAGCAGCUUCGGCGAGAGCUCGCUGUCCGGCGACUACUACGCCCUGGCCACAGUGGCUAUGGAGGGGCGGCCGAAGGAAGGCUCGGGGUCGGCGUCGUCAGCCGUCGCCAAGAGCUGGGCGCAGCAGGCCGAGGAGACGUACCCACUGCAGCUCGCCCUCGCCCUCCGCCUCUGCUCCGACGCCUCCACCGCCUCCGAUCCUAAUAUCCUUGAUCCUGGCGGUCACAUCUUCCCUGCCGAGAUCCUCCCCACAGAGUCACUCUCUCAUCGGUUCUGGGUACGCACUUGCACGCCUUUCGUCCUUCCUCUGGUUUGACAAUGCACUCCUCUUGCAAUUCUCUUUUUCGAUAUGUCGUUGUCGUUUUAUCUCACCAAUUGCUUGCCCUUGUUGGAACACUACUGCACAAGCUGACCUCUUAUUGGUUACCACGUUUGAUAGGAAAGAAAAUGAUCCAAAAACCACCUAAACUGUGCCUGAUUUGCAACACACCAUUUGAACUUCAAAAUGUUGAAAUUUACAACCGGGACAAUGAUUCUCUUGCCUCGAAGCACCAGCUCAAUUCCAUAAAUUUGGCGAAACUUCUGUUAUGAAACUAAUUAUCUAGGUGAGCGCGUGAACCGGCAAGCUGAUCAUUUUAUUGAAAAUCUAAUUCAUGUGUGAUCACAUGAAUAAGGGAUAGCUGGCCAAAUUGACGGAAAUAGGGGCUUUGUGGUUGAUUGCUUCAGAUUCUUGUUAGCUGGUGAGCUGCAACAUGUUAAAGGUCAGUUAGGGAAUUGCAAUUCACACAAGUUUAGAUGGUUUUGGGGCCUUUUUUGCAUUCUUAUUGUAUAUGGAAUUCAUGCGUAGUGUGACACCCCAAUAAUCCCACAUCGGAUGGGAAUAGGGUUGUCAUUGGGUUUAUAUGAGACUUGGACACUAGUAAUAAUAACUGGGCUUAAGCAUUUUGGGCUGGUGGUUUGGGCCCAACGAGUUAUUGUUGCUAGUGGGCUGGGUCAUUACAUUUGGUAUCAGAGCCGGUUCACCAGCUGGACAUGUGUGGCGAGUCUCGGCUGAGCCAGAGUCUGGAUGACGGGCUAGCGAGACGAGUCUCACAUCGCCUGGUGUUCUUGGGCUGUGUAUGUGAUUCGACUGACGAGGACGUCAGAACCUUAACGGGGGGAGUCUGUGACACCCCAAUAAUCCCACAUCGGAUGGGAAUAGGGUUGUCAUUGGGUUUAUAUGAGACUUGGUGUCACGCCCGGGUACCAGCAGAAGCAUAACCGGUACGUGCACAGACCCGCCAUACAUUUGCAGUAUAUAAGGCGUCUACGAAGAAAGCAAGUCGAUAGGAAGUAAAACAAAGAAAGUCCUAUCCUGAUAUCAGAGCAAUGUACAAGUCGAUAUACUAUCAGUAAAAGAACAAAGAGUAUACAAUCCAAAAAAAUCUCAGCAAAAGGAGAAGAAGUAUGAACUAUAACAUCUGGAUCUACAACUCCGAUACAACACAGGGUAUACAAAAACAUCUGUACAAUGGUAGUCACUCUAUACAAUGGACAUCACCCUCGGCCGUAGUCCUAGUAGCAAGGUGAUCAACUAGCACGCUCCUAGCAAAGUCUAGCUAGACGCGACUCCCUUGCCACGAUCCCUAACCUCUCCUGUAGAUGGCUCUGUAAAAACAACCACCAAAAGGGCGUGAGACUAUAAACAAUAGUUCCCAGUGGGUAAGCCGCCAGCCUCGGCGAAUUACACCACUAGGCUCAUGAUGUACUAAAUGAAAGCGAAAGCAGUAAUUGCAUGAUAUAUAUAAUUAUGCAAUGCUAACAGUAAUGAGCAUGUAAACAACAUGUAAUCAUAGUCUCAACAGUAAUAAAUCAACUGAAUAAUAGAAGCAUAGCAAUUAUGAUAAGCAUAAACAUAAGCAUAAACAUAAUCAUAGAAGUGUAAGUACUACUGUACACUACAACUGAUACUCAUUCAUUACUAUCAUUAUCAUUUUCACUUUCAUUUUCAUUCACUAGGACCUACUCAAGGUAGUCCAGCUUGCGCCGCGCCUAAUGGCCCCGUGGUAGUAUACACUCCCCACGGCAAUCCACUUCGGCACCCAAUCCCGCACGGGCAAGCAAUUGUCGCGUAGGCCAACUCCGGAGUGCCGGCUUGUAGGGAGCUACCCUCACAAGCGUGUGCGAAUGAGCACGAUGGCAAGCAAGCAAAGUCCAUUAUCCACAUGUCUCAAUUUUCAUAUUUUCAUUUGCAAAGUUCUUACCUUCGAUCCUCAGAUCGGAAUUUCAAUACACAAAUAGUAACAAGAACUAGUAUCCACUAGAUUGUAAACAUGUAAGGGUAAUGCUAAAUCACAUGGCAUUAUAAUCUUUCCGCUAUUAUGACACUAUCAAUAUAGUCAUAGUUCUCUACUUUAGAGUCAAGAGCAUGUCAUUGUUCUCUAUUGUUCAUAAGUCAUUCAACUGAAUUGAAUAUGAAUAUAAAUACUUUCAUGCAUAUAUGUUCUCUACUUUAUAGAGAUUUCAGUUUACUUAAGCAUCAAUUAUCACAAUAAUAUGUUUCCAAUUCUCUAUCAAUCACAUAUGCACUCAAUGCACCUAUGCGAUUAUUCUAUUAUGUAGAUACAUAUAGAACAUAGGGGAGUUCCACUUGCUCUGGUUAGGUCCGACCCACCUAGUACUAGGCUCCAAAAGUCACGAGAAGUCCCAAUAAUCAGCUCAACAAGGCUCCACUCCUGCUGAACACAAACAUCAACAUCGCGUCAAAAUGACGACCGAAAUGUCCGAUUUCGGCCUAAUUUACGCUUAGUACAAGGUAAUAGCUUGAAUUCCUGCUUUGAGGCUAGAUUAUUACCUCAAGAUAAGUCUCCAAGAGCUCUCACAAGUCAACUAACGAUGAUCCAGGGCUCGAUCGCACUCUCGCUACGAACAACAUCGAAACGGCAUCAAACUCAUCAUAUAUUAGCAACUAUAGUCGGAAUCUUGCAAUUUCAGCUUCCUAACUGAAAUUCUUGCUUACCUCAGGGUAGAACAGCUUCCAAACUAGCUUCUAAGAGUACAAAUUCAGCUCAACGAAGCUCGAAGACCUGCUGCGAAGAAAUAAUCCGUAAUUUGCAUCAAUUGCGCAAAUAAGUGCAUUUAGUUCCAAUUUAACUUCAUAAAUGGCUAAUUCUCUCAAUUAACCUUCAAAGAAGCUUAUCCCUGGUCUAAGGGGGUUCAUUCACAGCUAAUUAACUCAACUUUAAUUGUUGAAAUCUCAGAUUCAAGCAACUCGAAGCAAUAACUCAAAUGCAACACAUAAACAACUACUAGAACGUUGAUAAUGGAGAAAAUCAAGUCGUUUACCUUCUCAAGCUUCCAACCAGCACCUUACUGGUCCAGGGCUGCAAAAAUCCCUCCAAAACGCUCUCUUGCACGUGCACAAAGGCACUGCGACGCUCGCAACCAGCGAAGAACGCGCGCGACGACGAAAACGAGCGAAAUCGGCGACUUCUUUGUAGAGAGAGAAAAACCUUAGAGAGAGAGAGAGAGAAAGAUGGGAGAACACUCCUCUGGACUCCAGCAGGCUCCACUGAGUAUCCCUGGUCGAGCUGGGGCCUUAAGGAUAGAGAUCAAGUGUGAAAUUACCAAAAUACCCAAGCUGCCACGUUUCUGCAUCGUGUACCGGUACAAGCUAAUGGCUGUACCGGUACAGCAAGCAGAAAAAGCUGGUUUUCGCCCGAGCAAAGCACUUUCAUGCUUCUAGCCUUCCAAGCACUCUCUAACUUAUUCAAAAACUUGUCCAAGUCAUUUAGAACAUGUAGAAUAGUUCCACACUUCAUUCCACACACUCGAACUCUGCAAUUUGCGGAAGUCCAGUCUAUUACACUUGGACACUAGUAAUAAUAACUGGGCUUAAGCAUUUUGGGCUGGUGGUUUGGGCCCAACGAGUUAUUGUUGCUAGUGGGCUGGGUCGUUACACGUAGUUUGCCCUAGGAUGACUUUCUUCUGUAGGUUAGGAAGAAGAUUAGAAAAGCUUAUCAAAGGAGGUUUUGUUCCUGUUGCAAAAUGUAUAAAGAACUGAUGAAUCAACUAUCUACAUGAGCGAACAAAAGUGGAAAAAGAAACAGUAAUGUGAGCUUAUAAAUGGCUGAAGAGAAGUAAGCUCAAAUUCUAUAAUACAUUCAUUAGCUUAACAUGCUUAUAUACUCUUGUAGAGACUUAUCCCACCUCAUUUUCUAUUUUUUUAAUCUUUGCAUGUUCAUAUUUCUCAUUGACAAUGUUGUGCAAAUGUCUAAACAACUCCAAAAUCGUAUCAAAGCAUAAAUGCAUCGUCUUCUUUUACAAAAGUUUUAACUGGUGGGAUAAGUAUUGGGUUUGUGGAGCGAUGUGACGAAUUUAUCCUAUAGGGCUUGUUUCUUUCCACUAUUUUAGAAAUUCUAGCGAAGCAGCUAAGAUCCGAUGAUCCGAAGAAAUUAAACUAACUCGCUCGCGUGCGUGCGAUGGAUCCGAUCCUAUGGAAACUCCAAGGUGUGAUCUUUUCUAAUCGAUCUCUUAUUUAACUUUUCGAAUUCCAGAUUUGUCAUUUAUUUCUUUUAGUUUGAUUCCUAAGAAUCGCUCAAUCUGUAUUUUUAAGUAAUUGUCAAGAACCCUAAACCGUCCUGCAUCAUAUUUGACAUCAGAGCUAAGUUUUAUCAUAACGAACCAAUCAUGUCACGCCCCGUGACUGCCAAUUUGGCCGGUUCGGACCCGUACACAGACGCCGAACGAACAGAACCUCUUCUGUUCGCACAAGGCUCAACGGUAACUAUCAAACAUGUAUAAAAAAAUGCCCAGAAAAAAUUCUAAUAUACAUGGCUUACACGAGGGUAAGCAACACAAGCAAGUGAAAGCAGUUAACUAAAUCAUCUAUAGAUAUAUUAAUUCUUGAGUUUUACUGUGGCAUACAUGGCGCCUCCUCAGCACCCACCCUCUCUGUCGUUUCUCUUUAGGCGGGCGCGGGCGAGGGCCGCAAGCGGGCGCCGGGCGCGGGUCGGGAGCACGUGGGGGAAAGAGAGGGGGGGAGAGAGAGAGCCGGGGGGAAGGAGGGUGGGGAGAGGAAGAGAGGGGAAGAGAGAGAAAGAGAGAGAGAGAGAGAGAGAGAGAGAGAGCCGGGGGGUCGCUUAUAGUGGGUGGACGAGAGGGAAGAGAGUGAGAGACAAAGAGGCCGGGGGGCGGCCUGCAUGUGCGGGUGACCCGUACCGCCCGAGCGCUAGCGGCGAGAGAUGAGGAGAGAGACUCUCUCCACCCCCCUUACCCCCCCUCGGGCUCUCUCCUCGCUCUUACGCUCAUUCUUCUGCCGACGGCUCUGUUCGCCUCUCUUCUCCCCUACCCUCCCCGACUCUCUCACUUCUCUUUCCGCCGUCCUUUCUCGAGCUCUCUGCUCUCUCUCCCUCAUCUCUCGCAUCAGUGCGAGCGUGCAGGCGGGCAACCGGCGGGCAGCGGGUAGCGGAGGACUGGCGAGGGCGGGGUUGGCGCUGCGCGGGCCGGGCAAGGGCGGGGGCGGCGGGGCACGGCGAGGGCGGGCGGUGCGCGGCAUGGGGCAAGGGCGGGCGCGGCGGCGGGGCGGGCGCUUGCGCGAGGGCGGCGAGCGGCGGGCGCGAGGCGCGUCGCGAUAGCGCAGCGACAUCGCUAGAGGGAGGUGGGAAGAGGGAGAGGAAAAGGAGGGGAGAGAGAGAGAGAGAUGAGAGUGGCUGGGGGGGAAAUUGAGAGGGGCCAAAAAGAGGGGAAGAGAGAGAUAGCCGGCGGGGGUGUUUCCUUUUUCUUUUUUUUUUUCUUUCUGUUUUUAACUUUUAUUUUUUAAUAUAUUUUUGGCUGGUCUCGUCUUUUUUUUUCUUUUUUUUCUUCUUUUCUAACUUUUUUUCCCUUUUUUUGGCGCCUUUCUAAUUAUUUUUUAUUACUUUUGUAUGGUUUGAUCUAACAUACAAGAAAUAAAAAAUAAAUUUAAAUUAUAAAAUUGAUUUCUAAAUUUAAAAUUUAAUUUUAAAUCGAAUAUUCCUUAAUUUCAUGAUGCUGGGCAGUUGAGGGCGGGGCCGUGCGGCGCUGUCGCGGGCGCGUGCGGGGGGCGCGAGCCGGGCGGGUGCGGUUUUUGUUUUUCCGCAUUUUUUCUUGUGGGAUCAACAAUCUUUUUUUCCUUUUCUAACUUUUUUUAUUAAAAUUAAAAUUUAGUAUUUGAUAUUUUACAAAUGGUAAUCUUAUAUUACUAACUUUGCAGUUUAGGUGAUGUUGAUGAAGACUGUUGAGACAAACAUUGAACCUCUCAUAACAACUUUUAUUUUUUUUUUUGAAGUAUAGUUGACUGUAUAAAUUAAUGUACUACUUAUGUCUUCUAUUUACUAUAUAAUUUAAAAUAUUUUAAAAUUUACAUAAAUUCCCCGCCGCGUAGCGCGGGCCUUUACUAUUUUAUACAUUGUAUCUUGAUUACUUUAAAUCAAAUACAAAGCUUACAUUGCGAUUACAUACAUUCAUUCUUCCAACAUAUAUACAUUUGGCAUCUCUCAAAUAAAUAAUUUACAUUUUCUUUCAUUAACUAUAAAUA
rnacentral:lncRNA from 1 species